AUUGAACGCUGGCGGCAGGCCUAACACAUGCAAGUCGAACGAGUGGCGGACGUGUGAGUAAUGCUCGGGCAUCUAGCUUAUGGAGGGGGAUAACUACGGGAAACUGUAGCCAAUACCGCGUAACACAGGAUGAGCCCAAGUGGGUUUAGGUAGUUGGUGAGGUAAAGGCUCACCAAGCCGACGAUCUCUAGCUGGUCUGAGAGGAUGACCAGCCACACUGGGACUGAGACACGGCCCAGACUCCUACGGGAGGCAGCAGUGGGGAAUAUUGUGCAAUGGGGGCAACCUGACGCAGCCAUGCCGCGUGAAUGAAGAAGGCCUUCGGGUUGUAAAGUUCUUUCGGUAGCGAGGCGUUAACUACAGAAGAAGCACCGGCUAACUCCGUGCCAGCAGCCGCGGUAAUAC
rnacentral:rRNA from 1 species